AGGCCUUAGGGUCGAAACGACCUUAACCUAUUCUCAAACUUUAAAUGGGUAAGAACCUCACCUUUCUUGAUAUGAAGGUCGUGGUUGUGAUAUAAUGUGCCCAGUGGGCCACUUUUGGUAAGCAGAACUGGCGCUGUGGGAUGAACCAAACGUAAUGUUACGGUGCCCAAAUUAACAACUCAUACAGAUACCAUGAAAGGCGUUGGUUGCUUAAAACAGCAGGACGGUGGACAUGGAAGUCGUAAUCCGCUAAGGAGUGUGUAACAACUCACCUGCCGAAGCAACUAGCCCUUAAAAUGGAUGGCGCUUAAGUUGUAUACCUAUACAUUACCGCUAAAGUAUAUGGUUUAUAUUCAAUUUCGAUUGGAUCAUAAAUUUUGAAACUUUAGUGAGUAGGAGGGUACAAUGGUGUGCAUUGAAGUGUUUGGCGUGAGCCUGCAUGGAGCCGCCAUUGGCACAGAUCUUGGUGGUAGUAGCAAAUAAUCGAAUGAGACCUUGGAGGACUGAAGUGGAGAAGGGUUUCGUGUGAACAGUGGUUGAUCACGAGUUAGUCGGUCCUAAGUUUA
rnacentral:rRNA from 1 species